GAGUUUGAUCAUGGCUCAGAUUGAACGCUGGCGGGAUGCUUUACACAUGCAAGUCGAACGGCAGCAUAGAGAGCUUGCUCUCUGAUGGCGAGUGGCGAACGGGUGAGUAAUAUAUCGGAACGUGCCCAGUAAUGGGGAAUAACUAGCCGAAAGGUUAGCUAAUACCGCAUACGACCUACGGGUGAAAGCAGGGGAUCUUAGGACCUUGCGUUAUUGGAGCGGCCGAUAUCUGAUUAGCUUGUUGGUGGGGUAAAAGCCUACCAAGGCAACGAUCAGUAGCUGGUCUGAGAGGACGAUCAGCCACACUGGAACUGAGACACGGUCCAGACUCCUACGGGAGGCAGCAGUGGGGAAUUUUGGACAAUGGGGGAAACCCUGAUCCAGCCAUCCCGCGUGAGUGAAGAAGGCCUUCGGGUUGUAAAGCUCUUUCGAAAGUGAAGAAAACUUAUUUCAUAAUAUGUUAUGAGUAUGACGGUAACUUUAGAAGAAGCACCGGCUAACUACGUGCCAGCAGCCGCGGUAAUACGUAGGGUGCGAGCGUUAAUCGGAAUUACUGGGCGUAAAGCGUGCGCAGGCGGUUUUGUAAGUCAGAUGUGAAAUCCCCGAGCUUAACUUGGGAACUGCGUUUGAAACUACAAGACUAGAGUGUGUCAGAGGGGGGUAGAAUUCCACGUG
rnacentral:rRNA from 1 species